UAAUACGAAUCGUCCAAACGUUGUUCGGAUUCACUGGGUUUAAAGGGCGCGUAGGCGGUGCGUUAAGUCGGCGGUGAAAUACUUCGGCUCAACCGGAGAAUUGCCGCUGAAACUAGCGUGCUCGAGGGAGGUAGAGGUGCGUGGAACUUCCGGUGGAGCGGUGAAAUGCGUUGAUAUCGGAAGGAACACCUGUGGCGAAAGCGAUGCACUGGACCUCUUCUGACGCUGAGGCGCGAAAGCCAGGGGAGCGAACGGGAUUAGAUACCCCGGUAGUCCUGGCCAUAAACGAUGGGGACUAGAGAGUAGAUGCUCCGAUGUAUUUACUCUCGAAGCAAAAGUGGUAAGUCCCCCACCUGGGGAGUAUGGUCGCAAGGCUG
rnacentral:rRNA from 1 species